GUGUCAGCAGCCGCGGUAAGACAGAGGGUGCAAACGUUGUUCGGAAUUACUGGGCGUAAAGCGUGCGCAGGCGGCCUUGCAAGUCGGGCGUGAAAUCCCACGGCUCAACCGUGGAAGUGCACUCGAAACUGCUUGGCUAGAGUCUUGGAGAGGAAGGCGGAAUGCUUGGUGUAGAGGUGAAAUUCGUAGAUAUCAAGCGGAACACCGGUGGCGAAGGCGGCCUUCUGGACAAUGACUGACGCUAAAACACGAAAGCGUGGGGAGCAAACAGGAUUAGAAACCCUCGUAGUCC
rnacentral:rRNA from 1 species